rnacentral:rRNA from 1 species
UACGGAGGAUGCGAGCGUUAUCCGGAUUUAUUGGGUUUAAAGGGUGCGUAGGCGGACUGUCAAGUCAGCGGUAAAAUUGAGAGGCUCAACCUCUUCCCGCCGUUGAAACUGGUGGUCUUGAGUGGAUGAGAAGUACGCGGAAUGCGUGGUGUAGCGGUGAAAUGCAUAGAUAUCACGCAGAACUCCGAUUGCGAAGGCAGCGUACCGGCAUCCAACUGACGCUGAGGCAUGAAAGCGUGGGGAUCAAACAGG